rnacentral:rRNA from 1 species
GAUGAGCGCUAGCGGCAGGCUUAAUACAUGCAAGUCGAGGGGGCAGCAAUGUCACCGGCGGACGGGUGCGUAACGCGUAUGAAACCUACCUUUAUCAGGGGAUAGCCCGGGGAAACCCGGAUUAAUACCGCAUCACAUAUUAAACGGCAUCGUUUAAUAUUGAAAGAUUUAUCGGAUAGAGAUGGUCAUGCGUAGGAUUAGCUAGUUGGUAAGGUAACGGCUUACCAAGGCGACGAUCCUUAGGGGCUCUGAGAGGAGUAACCCCCACACUGGCACUGAGAUACGGGCCAGACUCCUACGGGAGGCAGCAGUAGGGAAUAUUGGGCAAGGGGCGAGAGCCUGACCCAGCCAUGCCGCGUGCAGGAAGGCGGCCCUCUGGGUUGUAAACUGCUUUUGAAUGGGAAGAACGGUAGGCCUGCGGGCUUAAUUGACGGUACCAUUAGAAUAAGCCACGGCUAACUACGUGCCAGCCGCCGCAGUAACAC